GACGAACGCUGGCGGCGUGCUUAACACAUGCAAGUCGAACGGAAAGGCCCUGCUUGCAGGGUACUCGAGUGGCGAACGGGUGAGUAACUCGUGGGUGAUCUGCCCUGCACUUCGGGAUAAGCCUGGGAAACUGGGUCUAAUACCGGAUAGGAGCCAUUUUUAGUGUGAUGGUUGGAAAGUUUUUUCGGUGUAGGAUGAGCUCGCGGCCUAUCAGCUUGUUGGUGGGGUAAUGGCCUACCAAGGCGGCGACGGGUAGCCGGCCUGAGAGGGUGGACGGCCACAUUGGGACUGAGAUACGGCCCAGACUCCUACGGGAGGCAGCAGUGGGGAAUAUUGCACAAUGGGCGCAAGCCUGAUGCAGCGACGCCGCGUGGGGGAUGACGGCCUUCGGGUUGUAAACGCCUUUCGCUAGGGACGAAGCUUUUUGUGACGGUACCUAGAUAAGAAGCACCGGCUAACUACGUG
rnacentral:rRNA from 1 species